UAAUUCCGCGACCGUCCAGUGCCACAAAUGUUCCUGCCACGAACGCCCCCCUCACCACAAAUGCUCGAGAAACCGCCCAAUAAAUCGAGCAAUGAUCAAGUAAAAAGUGCUCGAUGGAACUGAUCCGCCGCGGCGUCCUCCAGGUUAAAAACCAAUUCCGUGCGACCAUCUGCAUCAAUAUUCAAUCAUGCCAAUCCGUGCUUGCGUCGCGGCCUCUGGCAAUGGUAUCCACGCUGAUACUGGCCGCUUCCGAUUUUAAUCUCUCCUUCGUCUUUCCAAUCCCUCAACAUAUCUUUCCAAUCUGGUAGGUUGCCCCUCCAACGAUUUCAUUAGAUCAUGCCUGCUAGCUCAAAAUCACCGCGUUUUGUUUGGAUUAAUUGGAUUGGUCACAUCUCUGGCUUUCCAUGCAUGGCUUCGUCAAAGUGGAACCAUUCGUUCCAUUGGAACACCCCGCCGGAUCGUUGCCGGCAGCCUGCCCGCCCAUACACCGGUGCCUCUACUAACUAUGGUUCUUAGAGUUACCUGCCCGCCCUGCCGUUUAACAGAUUUUUUAGGUGUAGAUUCCAGGAGCUUUGCCUGUUCUUAGAUUUGCAGUUUCGUAUUUCAUCCUGCAAAAUUUGAUUGGCUUUAAUUCAGGUUCUUAGGUUCACGUGGAUGGAGGGAUGUCAAAAGGAAGCCAUGGAGUUGCUCAUAUUCAUAUAAUCAGCAGCGAAAUCUGAGCAAAUAUAGAAGGAGCAUAUGUAAGAUUGUCAUCUCAAGUAUAGAAGGAGCAUAUGUAAGGUGCGCUCACCCUGAAUCCCCUGAUUGCUCUAAUGAUAUUCAGUAUUGUCUUCAUUUAUCAGUGCAGACGUUGAUGAUUCAAAUAAUUACAUAUUUCACUACUCAGUUUUGAAACUACACUAACGAAGUUUGUUUAUUUACAUUGUCAUCUCAAGUACUAACUUUCUAUUGCAUAUUAGAUGUGGCAUGCCUCUUUUACAGAUUAUCUACAAUAAUCAGGUAUAUAUGUACUGAGAAAGUUUUCUCACAUAUAUAAUGUAGUUAAAGGUGUAAGUGCAUGCAGUGGCUUUAUAUGUGAUACUAUAACCAUUGUCGAAAGCCUUCAGGUUUGCUUAAUGGACUACAUUUAUCUUCGAUAACACACGAGCUGUGAAGGGAGGAACUGCGUGUUAACUGUUAAGAUUGUCAAAUAUAUUAAUAUUUUGCAGGAGAGGAAUAAUAGUGGGAUGAAGCAGUUGAUGUAUAUGGUGAGUGCAUUGAGUAAAUGGAUAUUGACAUUGGGAGGUUCGAUCUCAAGUAUCAUCAAAGGAUGGCAAAUGGCACAUCACAUUAAAUAGCUAGGUUUUUAUAUGUCAAUAAUAGUCAAUGAACGCCCUGGCUAGCUUUCCUUGCAAAAACCUCAUGGACGAUGUAACUAUAUAUUAUAUGAGCAAUAAAUCCAUGGUGACCUUUUUCUACAAAAA